GAGCUCUAUAGGACAGGGGGACAGGGAGCUCUUUCACACCACGCGCACACACACACACACACAAUGCAUCCCUAUACACACAGAAACACAACAUGCUUCCCUUACACACAGAGAAACACACAAUGCAACCCUUACACAUAAAGAUAAUGCAUCCUUUGCACAUACACAGAAACACACAAUGCAUCCCUUACACACACAUGCAAACACACACUGCUUCUCUUACACACACACACACACAGAAACACAAUGCAUCUCUUACACACACUCAACGCACCCCUUACAGACACACACACUGCAUCCCUUACAUACACAGAAAC